GCAGAAUUGUCUGAGAGAGUUGUUGAAGUUUCUGAUAAUUGUUCCCAUUAGGCUAAUUGAAAGGGUUUAUCUGAAGAAAAAACAAGUGAAAAUGGCUGAUGAGAGUACUGCAACUUGCAUAGAUAUCCUCUUGGCCAUCCUCUUGCCUCCUCUUGGUGUCUUCCUUAAGUAUGGCUGCAAGGUUGAGUUUUGGAUCUGUUUGGUCCUUACCCUUUUCGGGUACCUUCCCGGGAUUAUAUAUGCAGUCUAUGCCAUCACCAAGUGAUGAUCUUCAUCUUCAGUGGAAAGC
rnacentral:misc_RNA from 1 species